rnacentral:rRNA from 1 species
GACGAACGCUGGCGGCGUGCUUAGCACAUGCAAGUCGAACGGAAAGGCCCUGCUUUUGUGGGGUGCUCGAGUGGCGAACGGGUGAGUAACACGUGAGUAACCUGCCCUUGACUUUGGGAUAACUUCAGGAAACUGGGGCUAAUACCGGAUAGGAGCUCCUGCUGCAUGGUGGGGGUUGGAAAGUUUCGGCGGUUGGUGAUGGACUCGCGGCUUAUCAGCUUGUUGGUGGGGUAGUGGCUUACCAAGGCUUUGACGGGUAGCCGGCCUGAGAGGGUGACCGGCCACAUUGGGACUGAGAUACGGCCCAGACUCCUACGGGAGGCAGCAGUGGGGAAUAUUGCACAAUGGGCGGAAGCCUGAUGCAGCAACGCCGCGUGCGGGAUGACGGCCUUCGGGUUGUAAACCGCUUUCGCCUGUGACGAAGCGUGAGUGACGGUAAUGGGUAAAGAAGCACCGGCUAACUACGUG